rnacentral:snoRNA from 1 species
AUCUCCCUUUCUGCCCCGCGUCCCUCACUCAUAUAGGACAGUGGGUCCUUCUUACUGUGGAGAAGAACAAGCCAGUGAGUCCAGCUACGCUUUGAUACAUCGUUUGCCUGAGACCCGCUGGAUCGUGUGCGUGGCCAUUAAUCUUGGUGUUGUUUUCCAAACACUAGGGUCGUGGUCGUGUCCUAUAUAU